AACGAACGCUGGCGGCAUGCCUAACACAUGCAAGUCGAACGAGACCUUCGGGUCUAGUGGCGCACGGGUGCGUAACGCGUGGGAAUCUGCCCCUUGGUUCGGAAUAACAGCGAGAAAUUGCUGCUAAUACCGGAUAAUGACGUAAGUCCAAAGAUUUAUCGCCAAGGGAUGAGCCCGCGUAGGAUUAGCUAGUUGGUGUGGUAAAGGCGCACCAAGGCGACGAUCCUUAGCUGGUCUGAGAGGAUGAUCAGCCACACUGGGACUGAGACACGGCCCAGACUCCUACGGGAGGCAGCAGUGGGGAAUAUUGGACAAUGGGCGAAAGCCUGAUCCAGCAAUGCCGCGUGAGUGAUGAAGGCCUUAGGGUUGUAAAGCUCUUUUACCCGGGAUGAUAAUGACAGUACCGGGAGAUAAGCUCCGGCUAACUCCGUGCCAGCAGCCGCGGUAAAGUGACUACUG
rnacentral:rRNA from 1 species